AAGUAGUAGUAGAAACUAGUAUAGUAAGAAAUGUAGUGAGGUUUAAAGCAAAAAAACAAUCCUAUGAGAUGAAGCAGAGUAGAAGUAACUUUAACAGAAGUAUUCCCUUGACACAGUGGUAGUUAAAAUUAGGGCUGUCAAUAAAAAUUAACUGAUUAAUCCCCCAUAUUUAAGUUAAUUAAUCGUGGUUAAUCGCGAUUAAAAGCUUGUUAUACAUUUAAAGACUAAAUCUUACAAGUAAUGACCAAUCACUUUAGAAAGCGUCUAUUUUAGACAUUGUUAUUUGAUUGUAUAUUAAACACAAACAACACACAUGUGAUCAUCUUGGAAUUAGAAUCCUACCCGCUGGAACAUGUUGAACUAGCGACUCUUGUUGUUGUCCUUGUGCACUUUGCUCUCAACUAUCCAUCAUUUGACGGCUGUGUUUAAAGUGGCAACAAUUCUCCCCACAUUUAGCAGGACGUUUUCAAACCACGGUCUUUUAGGGACACAGUGGUGGUCCUCUGCAGACUGUGUGCCGCGCAUUGUAGAUGUUGACAUGGAAGUAGCCAACUUUUUUUUCCAAUUCAAAAAGCUUUCUCCAUCUUUAACUACAGUCUUGCUCCCGCCUUUGUAGAAAGUUGCUCCUGCCUGAGUAGAAAGGCAGCGGCGGUUUUGUUUCCCGGGUCAACUUUGUUUACUUCUGGUCUUCCGGAGUGUUGGAAGUAAACAGUUGUGUUAUUUGCGUUAAAAUAUUUCAUUGCAUUAAUCUCGGCCCAAUUAAUUACAUUCAUUUUGAAAGCCCUAGUUACAAUAUUUAUUGUAAUUCUCAACUCAAUCAGAAAAGAUCUUGAAUUUAAAAAUGAUUCAUUAAACAGGCAUAUAUAUAGGAAUAGCACAAAUUCUUUGGGGCUUGGAGUCCAUCCUGCCGUAGGGUAAACCAGGGGCCAGGAUGCCGAUCUGAUGAGGCACAGGAGAAAAGCAUUGCUCCAAUGCUUUGAUGCGCCGGGUUUGGCUGCUGAUUGCUGGCGAAGGGGAGGGUUGCAUCUGCUAAAUGCUGAAAUAACAACUGACAGUAACAGAGGGGACAAAAGUUUUGAAAGUUUGAGAGCACCAAUUCGAUUGGUUGGCCAGUUCUAAACCAGCCUGCCCCGCAAUCAGCUGACAGCGUAACCACAGGCAGAGAGGAGGGAACCUGCGGAAUGCACAGCUUGUCUUGACUGACUGAAUUUCCGCCCAAGCUUCAUUUAAACAAACAUUAGGAACAUCAAAGUGAUUAUUUCUCCCCUACGCUUCAGGUCUAACACCGCUCUUGAAUUCUAACAUUAUCAACAAUAAAAGUACAGCCACUCGUACCUUAUUACAGUUAACAGCAAUAUUAUCACAAAAUUGCUUUAGCCUCCAAACAUUGCGUAUCGCAUUUCAGUAGUCUAGAGAAAAUAUUGCCUGUACUGUACGUGUGGCUGUUGCUAUCCAACAGAAAAACGGCAUUGGAAACAAUCCGGUGAUCGCCACCGAGCUAAAAACUGAAAUGACAAUGACGGUCACGAAAAAUCGAACCGUUAUUUUGAGUGCGCAGAUAUUGUAGAUUAUUGCAUCAAGAAAGUACGCCCCAUGACUCACUCUCAGCCUUUAACAAUGCUGGAUAUCAUCUACCUGUAUUAUAACAUCAAAUACAAAGCUAAAGCUUUUCUCCACUGCCAGGUCAUUGAUGUUUUAUCUAGAUUUUUAUAGAAAAAAAACAAAACUCCACACUCAUAACUGGCAAGUUUACUCUUAUAAAUCUGUUUUCUUUUCCAGCAUAAAAAUAUAAAAAAUAAACACUCCAUCUAUUCAUGAAAAAUCAAUCUUUCGAUAGACUGAAGUGGUCCACCACCAAGGACUCAGCUGGGAUUCACUGUGCAGGGACAGUCAAUGUUUGUACAGCUUUCCUUUGGAGAAUCUCAGACAAAAAAAGAAAAGAAAAACACACUUUCAGUGAUGUAAGUUAUUAAUAACUUCUUUCAACUCCGCCGUUUGGAAUGAAUAAAAUGAAAAUGUCUACGUAAGAGAUAAUAACACCUUAACUUGGCCGUCCCUAUUUUUAUUCAGAUUCUUUCCUUUUUUUUUAAAGGUGUAGCAGUACUACACCACAUUAGUUUGGUCAAGAUAACCUUGCAUUGAAAUUUUGAUAUGAUCGCCCCAGUAUUUAAUUAACCUCUUAAAUUUGGGUUUCUUCCCCAGAAUAAAUUUGAAUGUUACUUAUUCAUUAAUCUGACUUGAUUUCCACUGCACCAUACUGCAUCUUACUUUACCUACUUCAUUCGGCGACAUUAACACAAAUCACUUUUACUUUUGCCCUCCGCUUCUUUUUCUCCUUAACCCACAGAGAGGCGCGGAGAAAGAAAGGCGUCCAUGUGAUGGCGAGUGAUGGUGACAUGAGUGCUGCCUGUGAGCCUCUUCACAGGUUUGUGAACAUCAACAGAGAGCUAAACCUAAAACGGUGGGGAUGAAGAAAGUACGAGUGCAAGAUACAAAGCAGCAACUUUUUACAAAAGUGAAUCACUGUUUAUACAAAUAGCUUUAUAGAUUCUAGGACAAAGGUCUUAUUUUUCAGUUCUGGUCAUUUCAAUUUAGCUGGUUUUACCAAUUUUAUGCAUGUUAGAACUGUAAUUAUAGUUAUUUCCAUUUUGGCUGUGCUGCCUUCCGGGUUCAAAUUCAAAAAAAGGUUUCUCGAGUACGGUUUUGGAUUGUUUACUCUGGGUUUUGCACUGAUACCGGACAAACUCGUUUGCCAACAUAGGUAGAGCAGGUCCUUUGACAGCACUGAUAUCAAUAUUCGAGAGUUUAAUGAAGUAUUGAUGAUUAGACGUGAUUCUGCGCUUCUCAGUGCAUCGCCUACGGCCCUUUAUUAGUACAAAAGUUGGGUGAGUUAAUUUUACAAGUUCACAUAUAACAUUAGAGCCUUCCUUUCCUUUUCACCUAGUGCUGAACACAUGAAGUUAAUCAUAUAACUCAAUAUUCACCGUAGAAUAAUUACCUCUUUGGGUGCAUCACUUUGUUUUAGCCACUAAGCCAUUCACAUACACUUUAACCGUCACAUGAUUUUAGUCUUAAAUCCUAAACUAGCUCCAGAUACAAAGUAAGACCUUCAAAAUAUUCUCCCCUCGGCCCUUGCAUUGCCUCUCGGCCCUCAUAAUUAUAGCACUGCAAGAAAGCAUACGCAUUGGAACACAUGACAUUCCCAUGGGUGCCCGGUUUGAACACCCCCCCCCCCCUCCAGCUCAAUACUUAAGGAGCAUAUGCUGGGUGCUGUGUCUCUCCGUCCUCUGAGGGCCUGUUGGGGCCCCUGCCUGCCUGCCGCAUCUGCCUAUUUAUGACCAGAGCCAACAGGACAGGGCUGACGGAUGGGCCCCUGAAGCUGGGGACAGGAAAGGGGAAGGGAGGGCUGGCAGGAGUGAGUGUGGGGGGGUUUGCACUCAGUCCUGGGCAAUUAGAGGGAAGAAGUGUGUAUGUGUAUGUCCGAGGGCAGACGUAGUGUGAGUUGGACUUUCCUAAUCCAUUAUCGCCGGGUCUCCCUCCCGGUGGCGGCGUGUCGACGCGCUGAACGCCGAGCGUGUUGUGAUGUGACAAGUCGGCCCGCGCGCCGCGUUUUCUGCAUCGGCUGCCUGUUGGACAGCGGACGCAGCUGAUGUGCGGUAAUUGCUGCCGUUUCAGUUAACUGUAAGAGAGAGCGAUGAGGGGGGGGGCUCCGUCCUGUUGGCCCACACUUUGUCUCUGCCGCCCCCCAAACACGCACGUUCCCUGAGGGGAGAUUCAGAAUCAGGAGGAACAUUCCUGCUUUGAUUGGGGAACUUUUGAGAGCCCAAAACAAAGCCCAAACAUUUGUAUAGCUAUAAAGCAUUUAUUUAGUAUUUAUUUAGUUGAAAGGAGAGCUACGAUGUGACAAUGUGCCAACAAUCAUACUCUGUGUAUGUUAAAUGUAUAACGAGUGAUGUACAGGUAGUGAUGUGGUUUUUAAACAGCAACAAACACAUAGUGAACAUAUAAAGCAUAUUCUGCUCACCUCAUCGUGUAGUCCCAACCGACUGUGCUGCCCACCGAUGCUACCAGCUCAAAUCAAGCCUGAUCGUCUGCUGAUCGCACUACAGAAUUGCACUUCACAAUUUAACAUGAGAGCCCCUUAAGAUGUCGAUUUUAUUAUAUUAUUUUGAUUUAUUAUAUUUUGUAUAGCCCAAAGUCUGUACACAGGCAUCAUCCUCCGUCCCAAAACCCUCACAUCGGCACAGGAAAAUGAAACCCUUCCAUGGUGAAAAAAGGGAAGAAACCUCUGAGAACGUCAGAGGAGGAUCCGUCUCCUGUUGGACAGACUACAACGAUGUCAUGUGUACAGAAUGAACAAUGUAGAAGAUGAACAACACUUUCAGAUCAUAUAACAGAAAUGAUUCAAAUAAUUAGUAGUAGUAAGCAGGUGUACAACAGGACCACUGCAGGGACAACCACCAUCAGAUAGAACCACCAUCACAUAGAACCACCAUCAAAUAGAACCACCAUCUGAUACAACCACCAUCAGAUAGAACAACCAUCACAUAGAACAACCAUCACAUAUAACCACCAUCAGAUAGAACCACCAUCACAUAGAACCACCAUCAGAUAGACCCACCAUCACAUAGAACCACCAUCACAUAGAACCACCAUCAGAU
ensembl:lncRNA